CCUACGGGAGGCAGCAGUGGGGGAUAUUGCACAAUGGGGGAAACCCUGAUGCAGCGACGCCGCGUGGGUGAAGAAGUAUUUCGGUAUGUAAAGCCCUAUCAGCAGGGAAGAAAGAAGACGGUACCUGACUAAGAAGCCCCGGCUAACUACGUGCCAGCAGCCGCGGUAAUACGUAGGGGGCGAGCGUUAUCCGGAUUCACUGGGUGUAAAGGGAGUGUAGACGGCCGUGCAAGCCAGGAGUGAAAGCCCGGGGCCCAACCCCGGGACUGCUCUUGGAACUGUGCGGCUGGAGUGCGGGAGGGGCAGGCGGAAUUCCUGGUGUAGCGGUGAAAUGCGUAGAUAUCAGGAGGAACACCGGCGGCGAAGGCGGCCUGCUGGACCGCGACUGACGUUGAGGCUCGAAAGCGUGGGGAGCGAACAGGAUUAGAUACCCGAGUAGUC
rnacentral:rRNA from 1 species